UACGAAGGGGGGCUAGCGUUGCUCGGAAUCACUGGGCGUAAAGGGUGCGUAGGCGGGUUUUUAAGUCAGGGGUGAAAUCCUGGAGCUCAACUCCAGAACUGCCUUUGAUACUGAAGAUCUCGAGUCCGGGAGAGGUGAGUGGAACUGCGAGUGUAGAGGUGAAAUUCGUAGAUAUUCGCAAGAACACCAGUGGCGAAGGCGGCUCACUGGCCCGGUACUGACGCUGAGGCACGAAAGCGUGGGGGAGCAAACAGG
rnacentral:rRNA from 1 species